rnacentral:rRNA from 1 species
UUUACUAAAGAGUUUGAUCCUGGCUCAGGACGAACGCUGGCGGCGCGCCUAACACAUGCAAGUCGAACGGAGU